rnacentral:rRNA from 1 species
CAGUCGCCGCGGUAAUACAGAGGGUGCGAGCGUUAAUCGGAUUUACUGGGCGUAAAGCGUGCGUAGGCGGCUUUUUAAGUCGGAUGUGAAAUCCCUAAGCUUAACUUAGGAAUUGCAUUCGAUACUGGGAAGCUAGAGUAUGGGAGAGGAUGGUAGAAUUCCAGGUGUAGCGGUGAAAUGCGUAGAGAUCUGGAGGAAUACCGAUGGCGAAGGCAGCCAUCUGGCCUAAUACUGACGCUGAGGUACGAAAGCAUGGGGAGCAAACAGGAUUAGAUACCCCUGUAGUCCCUGUCUCUUAUAC